rnacentral:rRNA from 1 species
GACGAACGCUGGCGGCGUGCUUAACACAUGCAAGUCGAACGGAAAGGCCCUGCUUUUGUGGGGUGCUCGAGUGGCGAACGGGUGAGUAACACGUGAGUAACCUGCCCUUGACUUUGGGAUAACUUCAGGAAACUGGGGCUAUAACCGGUUAGAAUCUCUUGCUCCUUGUGGGGGUUUGGAAAUUUUCGGCGUUUGGGGAUGUACUCGCGGCUUACCAGCUUGUUGGUGGGGUAGUGGCUUACCAAGGCUUUGACGGGUAGCCGGCCUGAGAGGGUGACCGGCCACAUUGGGACUGAGAUACGGCACAGACUCCGACGGGAGGCAGCAGUGGGGAAUAUUGAACAAUGGGCGGAAGCCUGAUGCAGCAACGCCGCGUGCGGGAUGACGGCCUUCGGGUUGUAAACCGCUUUCGCCUGUGACGAAGCGUGAGUGACGGUAAUGGGUAAAGAAGCACCGGCUAAAUACGUG